UACAGAGGGUGCGAGCGUUGUUCGGAAUUACUGGGCGUAAAGCGCGCGCAGGCGGUCCUUUAAGUCUACCCGUGAAAUGCCGGAGCUCAACUCCGUGCACGCCGGGGGAUACUGGGGGACUGGAGACAUGUAGAGGCAAGCGGAAUUCCGGGUGUAGCGGUGGAAUGCGUAGAUAUCCGGAAGAACACCUGAGGCGAAGGCGGCUUGCUGGGCAUGAUCUGACGCUGAGGCGCGAAAGCUAGGGGAGCGAACGGG
rnacentral:rRNA from 1 species